UCUCUUCUCUUCCCCUCUCGUUGCGCCGCGACGGAGUCUCCCUCCCUUCUCACCGAUCGACUCUCCGUCUCAGUCUCUCUCCGAUGAAAGGCUCGGAUGAAGAACUCUACUUCUCCGAUGAACUCAGACCGCUCUCCGCCUCACACUCUUGGCCUGAAACCUCUCAUCUCUAUCAGAAUUCGUCCGGAGCGUCUUCAGUUUGUUGGAGCUUUGGAUUAAGCGCACGAUUUGCAAGUUGAAGGCGCGUUGCGGGAUUGCUUAUCGCAGAUGGAGAAUUGAUGAUUGGAGAUAUGAAUUCAAGUUUUCAAUGGAGUCACUUGGUAGAUUAAACACACAGCAUGGGAUCUGAACCUGGAUGAAUCAACCGUUGCCAAAAUGAGACUGACUAGCCGUGUGGAAUGAUGAGAAAACUUAGAGUUUGGAGGGAAAUAGCUCAGCUCACUAGAGUUUAUUUUGGUAGGGGCAAGUUGGCAUAGCAUGGAGGAGGUAUUGGACUGUUAGUUAAAGGUUUGUAAUUUUCUGUUUUGGUUGUUAUAGGAGAAUUGGUUAAGGGCUGAACCGGUUAGCAAUGUAGUGAUAGGAUUUUGGAUCUAUAUGAAUGCUGUAGGUUUUUAUGAAAUGGAUUUGAACUUUCAUUUUGAUUGUGCUCAUGUAUGUGUGAAAGCAGGGCUUUAGUUUGGUAUUAGUUGUUGUAUGGUUGUAUAUGUGACUGGUUUCUGUUAGGAGUUAGAUACAAAAACAGUUGGAUGUUAUUUGGUAGUUGGGAUGCGGUUAUUCUCUUGAAUUGCUGUAUGUGGUUGUUUAUGUAAAGCUGAGUUUUGUAGGGGUUAAAACGUUGGGGAAGUUUGAGUAUGAGCUGGGAGUUAAUUGACUUUUCUGUUGUGAGCUGAGCUAUUCCUCUGAUGCACUGCCUUUUUCUUUUGUAGAAACUAAUGCCAAGUUUUUCUGAACUGAAAUUGAAUACAAAUGUAUGGUAUGUGCAGGUUUGAUCAUGGUUCAUUAACUGAUACAAUGCCUGUUUUGAUAAGUUGCUGCUGAUCUUUUUGGUUACUUUUUGUUAUGGUUGUGUGCAGGAUUUCACUGUAUGAGGGGCAGAAGUGGAUUCGACUUGACAUAUUUCCGUGGACAGAAUUGGAACAGCAAUCUGAGUUGAAUUUUCAAUGAUGAUGAAUGGCAUAUUUUAUUGUAACUUUUGUAAACAAUUGGAUUUGAAUGAAUGAAUCUUGUGUGGCUCCAUGUUCAUUUCAAUGUGCUUACUUGAGACAUCCUUAGAGAUUUUUGUAAAAUUGAAUCAA